AUUGAACGCUGGCGGCAUGCCUUACACAUGCAAGUCGAACGGUAACGGGCCUUCGGGUGCCGACGAGUGGCGAACGGGCGAGUAAUACAUCGGAACGUGCCCGACCGUGGGGGAUAACGAGGCGAAAGCUUUGCUAAUACCGCAUACGAUCUACGGAUGAAAGCAGGGGACCGCAAGGCCUUGCGCGGACGGAGCGGCCGAUGGCAGAUUAGGUAGUUGGUGGGAUAAAAGCUUACCAAGCCGACGAUCUGUAGCUGGUCUGAGAGGAUGAUCAGCCACACUGGGACUGAGACACGGCCCAGACUCCUACGGGAGGCAGCAGUGGGGAAUUUUGGACAAUGGGCGCAAGCCUGAUCCAGCCAUGCCGCGUGCAGGAUGAAGGCCUUCGGGUUGUAAACUGCUUUUGUACGGAACGAAAAGCCUUCUUUUAAUACAGGAGGGUCAUGACGGUACCGUAAGAAUAAGCACCGGCUAACUACGUG
rnacentral:rRNA from 1 species